rnacentral:rRNA from 1 species
AGGGGCCGUGCGUAGCAUCAGCUAGUUGGUGGGGUAAUGGCCUACCAAGGCGAAGACGCUUAGCUGGUCUGAGAGGAUGAUCAGCCACACUGGGACUGAGACACGGCCCAGACUCCUACGGGAGGCAGCAGUGGGGAAUAUUGGACAAUGGGCGCAAGCCUGAUCCAGCCACGCCGCGUGAGUGAUGAAGGCCUUCGGGGUCGUAAAAGCUCUGUGGGGAGGGACGAACGGCGCCAUGAAGAGUGGCGAUUGACGGUACCUCCUUAGCAAGCACCGGCUAACUUCGUGCCAGCAGCCGCGGUAAUACGAAGGGUGCAAAACGUUGCUCGGAAUCAUUGGGCGUAAAGCGCACGUAGGCGGCUUUCUAAGUCGGAUGUGAAAUCCCUCGGCUUAACCGAGGACGUGCAUCCGAAACUGGGAGGCUUGAGUAUGGAAGAGGGUCGCAGAAUUCCCGGUGUAGAGGUGAAAUUCGUAGAUAUCGGGA